UACUAGAACGGGGCUGGGUCGA
rnacentral:miRNA from 1 species